AUUGAACGCUAGCGGGAUGCCUUACACAUGCAAGUCGAACGGCAGCACGGACUUCGGUCUGGUGGCGAGUGGCGAACGGGUGAGUAAUGUAUCGGAACGUGCCCAGUAGCGGGGGAUAACUACGCGAAAGCGUAGCUAAUACCGCAUACGCCCUACGGGGGAAAGCAGGGGAUCGCAAGACCUUGCACUAUUGGAGCGGCCGAUAUCGGAUUAGCUAGUUGGUGGGGUAACGGCUCACCAAGGCGACGAUCCGUAGCUGGUUUGAGAGGACGACCAGCCACACUGGGACUGAGACACGGCCCAGACUCCUACGGGAGGCAGCAGUGGGGAAUUUUGGACAAUGGGGGAAACCCUGAUCCAGCCAUCCCGCGUGUGCGAUGAAGGCCUUCGGGUUGUAAAGCACUUUUGGCAGGAAAGAAACGUCAUGGGUUAAUACCCCGUGAAACUGACGGUACCUGCAGAAUAAGCACCGGCUAACUACGUGCCAGCAGCCGCGGUAAUACGUAGGGUGUAAGCGUUAAUCGGAAUUACUGGGCGUAAAGCGUGCGCAGGCGGUUCGGAAAGAAAGAUGUGAAAUCCCAGAGCUUAACUUUGGAACUGCAUUUUUAACUACCGGGCUAGAG
rnacentral:rRNA from 1 species